CACGUAGGGCGCAAGCGUUGUCCGGAAUUAUUGGGCGUAAAGAGCGUGUAGGCGGCCAGGUAGGUCUGCUGUGAAAACUCGAGGCUCAACCUCGAGACGUCGGCGGAAACCAUCUGGCUAGAGUCCGGAAGAGGAGAGUGGAAUUCCUGGUGUAGCGGUGAAAUGCGCAGAUAUCAGGAAGAACACCCGUGGCGAAGGCGGCUCUCUGGGACGGUACUGACGCUGAGGCGCGAAAGCGUGGGGAGCAAACAGG
rnacentral:rRNA from 1 species